GCAGCCCAGCGCCGAGCCCAGGAGUGUCAGAACCUGAAACUAAGGCGUUGUGGCCCCACAGGAAUCUCAGAUACUGAGCAGGUAGUCUGCUGCAGAGCCCAGCUCAAACACAAACGGAGGAGAAAGAAACGUUCAACAGAGAGAAUCCCAGUAAAUCCACUCACCGCGGGUUUCAGACCGGCAGGACAAACAGAUGCAAAGCCAUUCUUCAGUAAGGGGACGCUGCCGAUUGCUCCCACGAGGAAGCUAAGUUUAGGCUCCAUGCAAUCUUCCCAGGCUGAGUGACUCAGCCCAGCAGGGAGGCUGAGAGAAACGCACUAAACUCCUCCCUCACACACACACACAAACACAAACACACAUACACACACACACACCCCCACGCACCCCCACACCCCACUUAGGAAACUUUCACAACGACCAACACAAAUCAGGAGCUCAAGACACAAAAUGAUCCGACUGAUGGGAUAACAGCUGUUCCACCUGCAGACAGACUUUAGACCCAACAGGAUGUUAAAAGUUGGACUUUGUGUCAUUUUGAUGAAAUGAGCAAAAAAUCUUUAACUUGAGGCCCAAUUAGAUGGAUCAAUGCCAGGCAAACAGGACAGAACACUGCAAAAACUCAAAGUCUGACCAGGUAGAUUUUAUCCAGUUAUAGUCCAAAUAUCUUAUUACACUUAAAACAAGACAAAACUAACUUACAGAUAACUUUUCAGAAAUACUUUUUCACUUAUAACAAGACAUUAUCAAAGCAUUCUGCUAGUGAAACUAUCUAUCAAUUAAAUUUAUUUUAAUAGCACAUUUCAGCAACAAGGCAGCUGGAAGUGCUUUACUUCAUAAAAAUACAAAAAUUAAAACCCAUAAAAAUAACAUAGACUCAUUAUUUAGAGAAACCGGUGGCAAACAUUACAAUUUAUCGAGUGUCAACAUGAAAAUCAUCAAAAUACAUCAAAUAUGUUGGUCAAUAUUCCAUUUAUUAUGGUUCUAAAGCAGCUUUAACCAGGUGGGUUUUAGUUUUGAUUCAUAGAAACUCAGAGUUUCAGCUCUUUUUCAGUUUUCUGGAAGUUUGCUCUAGUACUUAAUAAUCAUUAUUAAGAAAUUAUUGAUCUAAAACAAGCUCCUACAUCUUCUUAAAAAGUUACUUGUAAUUUAGUUUUGUCUUAUUUUAAGUGUAAUAAGAUAUUUACAGUAAGAUUUUAUGUUUUUGCAGUGUAAACCUGACCAGAGUACAUCACAGCAAACAACUAAAACGGUUUCUGUUAAUUUUUUAAAUGCUGAAUCAUUAUUCUGUGAAAAUCUAACAUUAUGAUGGUAAAAACCAGGGCCAGCAUGUACCUUUAACCAGCUCUGACCUGUCCAUGUUCUGCAGCUGCUCCUGGUUCCAGUCUAGUUACACAUUUAUUUAGAUAAAUUGCCAGCAGACAUGGCAGUGCGUUGCCUCUGAGCGUUUUACGAAUAAAAAGAAGAAGCAAACCCAACAGCGACGCCCAAGCCGGAAGAUUUCACGUCAAUAGAAACGACGGGACAGAAAGGCUUGAUGUGAAAAUCAGCUGAAUGAACGUCAGAGGUGUGUGUUUAUGCUGCUGAACAUUCACAUGAAUAGUUUUGACACCUGACUGUUCAAUGAGGAAGGAAUGACAUCUCGCUCUCUCAGGGAACCAGUCGGACCAGAAUGGAUUCCAAUCAUUAAUUUUCCGUCUGAAACCAAAGCACAACGGUCACAAACAGACGGGUGGUGAGGACAAGCAGCUGCAUUUCAAACCUACGGCUUAAAAUAACACAAUGAUUGAGCAUUAUUUACUAAAAACACAUCAUCAUCCUCACAACUGUGUGAAGCAACAACACAGAGGUAGCAAAAGUCAACUCUGCACAUCCCUGCAGCCGUGCUGUUCUGAAAACAACAUGGGU